GAUGAACGCUGGCGGCGUGCCUAAUACAUGCAAGUCGAGCGAACAGACGAGGAGCUUGCUCCUCUGACGUUAGCGGCGGACGGGUGAGUAACACGUGGAUAACCUACCUAUAAGACUGGGAUAACUUCGGGAAACCGGAGCUAAUACCGGAUAAUAUAUUGAACCGCAUGGUUCAAUAGUGAAAGACGGUUUUGCUGUCACUUAUAGAUGGAUCCGCGCCGCAUUAGCUAGUUGGUAAGGUAACGGCUUACCAAGGCAACGAUGCGUAGCCGACCUGAGAGGGUGAUCGGCCACACUGGAACUGAGACACGGUCCAGACUCCUACGGGAGGCAGCAGUAGGGAAUCUUACGCAAUGGGCGAAAACAUGACGGAGCAACGCCGCGUGAGUGAUGAAGGUCUUCGGAUCGUAAAGCUCUGUUAUUAGGGAAGAACAAAUGUGUAAGUAACUAUGCACGUCUUGACGGUACCUAGUCAGAAAGCCACGGCUAACUACGUG
rnacentral:rRNA from 1 species